UACGAAGGGGGCUAGCGUUGUUCGGAAUCACUGGGCGUAAAGCGCACGCAGGCGGAUUGAUAAGUCAGGGGUGAAAUCCCGGGGCUCAACCUCGGAAUUGCCUUUGAUACUGUCUGUCUUGAGUUCGGGAGAGGUUGGCGGAAUUCCUAGUGUAGAGGUGAAAUUCGUAGAUAUUAGGAAGAACACCAGUGGCGAAGGCGGCCAACUGGCCCGAU
rnacentral:rRNA from 1 species